GUACGCCUACGGGGCGCAGCAGUGGGGGAUAUUGCACAAUGGGGGAAACCCUGAUGCAGCAACGCCGCGUGAAGGAAGAAGGUCUUCGGAUUGUAAACUUUUGUCUUGCGGGAAGAUAAUGACGGUACCACAGGAGGAAGCUCCGGCUAACUACGUGCCAGCAGCCGCGGUAAUACGUAGGGAGCGAGCGUUGUCCGGAUUUACUGGGUGUAAAGGGUGCGUAGGCGGCUAGACAAGUCAGGUGUGAAAUACCGCAGCUCAACUGCGGGGCUGCACUUGAAACUGUAGAGCUUGAGUGAUGGAGG
rnacentral:rRNA from 1 species